rnacentral:rRNA from 1 species
AUACGGGGGGUGCAAGCGUUAAUCGGAAUUACUGGGCGUAAAGCGCGCGUAGGCGGUUUGCUCAGUCGGAUGUGAAAGCCCAGGGCUCAACCUUGGAACUGCAUACGAUACUGGCAAACUAGAGUGUGAGAGAGGAUAGUGGAAUUUCCGGUGUAGCGGUGAAAUGCGUAGAUAUCGGAAGGAACAUCAGUGGCGAAGGCGACUGUCUGGCUCAACACUGACGCUGAGGUGCGAAAGCGUUGGUAGCAAACAGGAUUAGAAACCCUAGUAGUCC